rnacentral:lncRNA from 1 species
CAUAAAAACCCUAGCUAAACACCGCCUUCUGUGAACCUCACUGUGUCUCUCACUCUUCUACUGUCCAGCUCCAAAAGGCAGCGGAAUUUGAAGAAAAUGCCGCUUGUACCUCAAGAUUUGUUGCUCUUUCGGCACCUUAACAUAUUUUGGUGAGCUUUUAUUAAGAUAUAUUUAUGUAAAUGUAAUAAAAAAAGGUGACCAAUUAGCCAGUCAUACACAAUCGGCCCCUAAUAAGGGCCCAUUUUGCUAUGUGUGAAUGGUCAGUAUGUCACCAACAGUAAUAUUAAUGGUGUUUAAUAGCGUUAAUUCUGGUGAAUUGCGUCUAAUUCCGCUUUCACUGACGGGCUAUUGACACUACAUUCUUGUCAAUAAUCUGAUAGAGAAGGGAAGUGUUCAUAAAUGGAGAGUUAAUUAAUUAAUUAAUCUCUUUUGAGCUUCUUUAAGAGCAAUUUUGGUUCGACUUUUAACAUCAUUGCACAUUCCUUAAAGAAAUUGGCAUUAGGGAACUUGUGUGAGAUUGUAAAUGUGACUGGAUUAAAUAGGCGAAUAGUGAAUAGCUUUUAACGUCAAUGUAUUUUCUAUUUCUUAUUUUUUGCAGUGUAGAUUUCAGGUCUUAAUGGAAAUAUGCAUGAAAAUUGGGUAUAAAGACCGGAAAUUGGAUUUACUGAACUUGAGGAUAAACAAUGUUUUUGCAUAUAGAUGGUGAAGACUGAAAGGUUGAAACAAAAAAAUUCAUUAUGAGUUUAGAAGAACGAAAAUGAGGUGAGGCAAAAGCUACAAAUUUUUCGGCUGAAUACAUAUGCGACCAUUUUCGUAUAGACACCUCAACUAAGGGUGUGACCUAUGACCAUUUUCAUUUAGACACCUCAACUAAGGGUGUGACCUAUUGAACACUUGUACGACGAAUAUACAACAAUAACAACGACGACCUAGUAAAAUCUCACUAGUGGGGUCUGCGGAGGGUCGGGUGUACGUAGACCCCCUACCCAGAGGAGUAGAGAGGCUAUUUCCGAAAGACCCUUGGCUCGAGAAACGAAAAGAGACAAAUAUGUACCUAUUAAACACAUGUUGCUGAGAGUCAAGUACUUUGUCGUUGGAGAGAUUGUCAUUAAGCUGUUUAAUAGGUACAGGAAUAUAGCUUAAGUGUUCAAUAGGUCACACCCUUAGUUGAGCUGUCUAAAUGAAAAUUUGUGCCAAGUUUAACCUGUAAAAAGUUCGAUGAGUUUACAAGAACGAAAAUGAGGUAAGGCAUCAAGUACCAAAAGAAGGCAUUAGAUACAGGAUUAGUUCAAAGAUUUUAUAGGAUUCUCAUGCACUUGCUGUUGUAGUGUAAGAAAAACUCCAUUCUUGUAAACAACUUGAGAGAUUUUGUUUAAUGGUGUUCUCAUUAGCAUGAUUUUGUUUAAACACCAAGAAACGCUUUUGCAUAAAUUAAAUUUCAAAUGGGUUCUAUUUGGUUUAGACAAUUGGAGCUUGAAGAAUCAAGGCUGGAAAGUGUCAAGGUGGAACCAGAUGCAAAAGAUCAAUUAAUUUGGGGGGAGUCAACACAUGGACAAUACUCUGUUAAAAUUGGCUAUAUCAAUGCUUACAAAACUGACAGAACAGUGGAUGUUUGGACAUGGAAGUCGAUGUGGAAGAUUAAGAUACCAGUCAAUCCGCUGUUGCUUGCUUUUGGUUGGACAGCCAUUCUUGAAAGAUGCUUGACGCACGACAACCUAAAUAGAAGAGGAUUUUAUCUGCGCAGCAGGUGCUACAUGUGUCAAAAAGAUGCAGAAGAUAUUCCUCACCUUCUACUCCACUGUGAAGUAGCUAGAGAGUUAUGGAGCGGGCUCUUAAGUAUUUUUUGGGUUCACUGGAUGCCGCCCUACAACAUUAGAGAUGCCUAUGCAAUCCGGGGUCUUUGGAGAGUUAGGAAUCUCUUGUAGGAAAUCUGGUUAAUCACUCCAGCCUGUAUAUUUUGGUGUUCGACAGAAAGGAAGUACAGAUGCUUUGAUGGAGUUCUAACUCCUAAUCACUCCCUCAAACCUAGGUGUUUGACUAAGCUUUUUCGCUGGUGCAAUCUGCACAAUGUAAAUAGCAUAGAGCACAUUGAUUUUGUUAGCUCCGUGAGCCUUAUUUAAGAACUCAAUGAAUGUGUAUUGGAGCUAAUCUUGUAUUUUGCUCUGCAUCCUCUAGAUGCUUAUCAAUGAAAUGCUUUAUCUAAAAAAUAAUUGGAGCAUGAAGUAUCUUGACUAUUAUUUGAAAAUUUUGCGACAUGGUUCCUUCAAGUGAUGUUUGUUUGAGCUGUAGGGUGUUUCCUUUGUUAUAUGUCAACUGGCAUUGCAUAAGGCAAAGAUUUUGGUAGCUAAAUAGCUAGUCAUGAAUAGGUCAAAUGCUUAAAUCUGCAUGAAUAGUCAGUAAGCUCACCUAGUUGUGGCCUAUUAUUAGAAACUGAUUCGCAAGUUGAAUGUUGUGCUGUGACUACAGUAAUACCCCAACCAAUCCUUAUUUUAUGAUGUUAUACUUAAUAACUGAGUUUUCUACUUUACUGUGUUGAGUUUGUAUGGUUGGAUCUCAACUUCAUGUGAAACAAUAGAUGCCUUUUUUGCUUUACAUGCAUUGAACAAUCCUACGAGAAUCUGAGGUUCCAUUGGAUUUUCAGAGUUAACAACGAAAUACCAGUUCUUGUUGUCUGGCUCAUUGGGUAAAGGGCCUAGUUAAGAUGUUAAAUGUGUUUUAGAGGAGUAACUUCUACGACUUUGUAGUUCUAAUAACCAGGAGCGAAAUAGUUUGGUCUACAUUGAUGUAUUUUACCCUUUUGCAGAAAAUGUAGUGCCCAUGUUUUGGUGAUAGGAGUAUUUUAUCCAUUUGUGAAUUUAUUAUGGCGAAACUAAGUAUUUGUCAGUAACUUUGUUGCCUACGUGCGUGUAGUAUUCGACAAAGCAUCCUUCUUUCAGUGUAAUGAAUUUAACACCACAACUCUUGUCACAAGCAUUCUGCAUAAUUCUUGGAAUUAAUUGCCUGAAGAUGAAACUUGAUGUGCUUCUUGAGAGGAAAAGACCUAGAUAAGUCCUUUAAGUUUGGGUAUAGGAGUAUUUUAUCCCUUAUCUUUGUAAAAGUGGAGGGAUGUAGUAUAGAUAAAGUAUAAAAUACUCCUAUGCCCAAACUUAAGGGACUAUCUAGGUCGUUUCCUUUGCUUCUUGAUGAUCUAUCAAUGUUGUUGCUUCUUUAAACUUGUUCAAUCUUGUUUGCUACAUGUUUCUCAAUAUAUUCAAUCUGCAGUUGACAGUGCCUGACACAACAAAGGAACUACUAGCUUGCUGGUAAAAUAGUUGCAGAAAGAAAAACUUCACAAUUAAUUUGGGCAACGAUACCAGCUUGUAUUUGGUGGACUGCGUCGAAGGAGAAGAACCUGAGAUGUUUUGAGAGCAAAGUUGCAGCAGUUACAGUUUGUCCAUAUUCAUCUCGGCAUUCUAUGAUCUUCACUAGUUCAUCCAAGCACCACUUCAAUGUUGCAUAAUUCUUUGAGAAAAUGAUGAGAGCAACUUGACACACUUAGAUUUUAAGUAGUAAAUCUAUGUGCAGGUUAUAUAUGAUUAUUUGCCGCAAGUGAUAUGCCCGUUCGAUCAAUCUCCAAGAAAAAGAAAUGUGGCCAUACAACCAGAGGCGGAUCCAGAAUUUGAUGACUGUGGGUGCCACUAUUUUAAUGCAAGCCGACCACUAAUGAAGAAAAUUAAAUUACAGUGUAUAUUCAGUCGAUUCGAUCCGUUUUGGAUUAACUCGGUUCGGUUCAAUCCGUUUUUGAAUUUAUUCAAUCCAAUUUACAUAAACGAAUAUGUGAUACGUCCUUCAUUCUACAUGUAGCUGA